rnacentral:rRNA from 1 species
UAAGACGAACCGUGCAAACGUUGUUCGGAAUCACUGGGCUUAAAGGGUGCGUAGGCGGCCAAGUCAGUCGGGUGUGAAAGCCCUCGGCUCAACCGAGGGAGUGCGCCCGAUACUGCUUGGCUCGAGGGAGGUAGGGGCGCGUGGAACUUCCGGUGGAGCGGUGAUAUGCGUUGAUAUCGGAAGGAACGCCGGUGGCGAAAGCGACGCGCUGGAUCUCUUCUGACGCUGAGGCACGAAAGCUAGGGGAGCAAACGGGAUUAGAUACCCCGGUAGUCCUAGCUGUAAACGAUGAGCACUGGGUUGAGGAGGUUCCGAUGCUUUCUCAGCCGUAGCAAAAGCGUUAAGUGCUCCGCCUGGGGAGUAUGGUCGCAAGGCUG